rnacentral:rRNA from 1 species
GAUGAACGCUGGCGGCGUGCCUAAUACAUGCAAGUCGAGCGAACAGACGAGGAGCUUGCUCCUCUGACGUUAGCGGCGGACGGGUGAGUAACACGUGGAUAACCUACCUAUAAGACUGGGAUAACUUCGGGAAACCGGAGCUAAUACCGGAUAAUAUAUUGAACCGCAUGGUUCAAUAGUGAAAGACGGUUUUGCUGUCACUUAUAGAUGGAUCCGCGCUGCAUUAGCUAGUUGGUAAGGUAACGGCUUACCAAGGCGACGAUGCGUAGCCGACCUGAGAGGGUGAUCGGCCACACUGGAACUGAGACACGGUCCAGACUCCUACGGGAGGCAGCAGUAGGGAAUCUUCCGCAAUGGGCGAAAGCCUGACGGAGCAACGCCGCGUGAGUGAUGAAGGUCUUCGGAUCGUAAAACUCUGUUAUUAGGGAAGAACAAAUGUGUAAGUAACUGUGCACGUCUUGACGGUACCUAAUCAGAAAGCCACGGCUAACUACGUG